CCGUGCCCUGCGCGCAGCGGCUUUGACAGCUGGUGGAGCCGCUGCCCAAUGGAAAGGCACGCUGCUAACCACUGCCCAAUGAGAAGGGAUGCUGGGGCGGAAAGGCCCAUCUCAGGAGGUGCACACCGAGAGACAUUGCAAGGCUCCACAGCGUGCUGUCAGGGUUGCCGACUGUCAGAGUAAACUGAAGUGCUGAGAGAAGCAGCCAGUAUCCACAGAGGCCUCCUCUGGUGUUCACUGCCAGACCAGAAUCCUGCUCACCCACCCAUUCCAGACUUUGAUUCAUUCUUUCCCGCCCAGCGUGCAUGGGGCCCAGACACUCCAAGGGAAGAAGUGGAUCACAGAACUUGGCUCCUGGACACCCCAAGGAGAGAAGCGAAAAACAGAACCACCCAAGAUUUAUGAAAGCUAGGAUUUUACAACAAAGUUUGUUUAAUAAGACACUAACCCUGCACCUCUAUGUGUUUGUAUACAAGAAAGCACCUCCUGCUGGCUCAAAGGGUUUUCCAGCACAAGGGUAUCUUGGCAAUCGAGAGUCAAGAAAUAUAACAAAAUCACAUCAUACAACACAUCUCACACAAGGGAUUAUUGGGGUGAAACACAGAAUGGGGGCUGCUUCUGAGGAGAAAAGGAACAGAAAAAACAGCCAGCUGGGUGGAGAGGACAGACUUUAUAGGAUUUUUGGAGCAUGCGCAUUGAGUUAGUAGAGCAUGCUGGAUGAACUCGUGGAGAAGCACAGCACCGCUGGAAGUAUUGCUUGGCUGUUAAUUCUGAGUCAUAGAAGUGGGAAUUUCCAAGUCCCGAGUGUGGCGACAGGACAGGGACAGGGUGAUUUUUACUGGCCUGUUACCCUACAUUUCUCAUGUUUUGAUCCACUACUGAUAACCAAUUCCUCGGUCAGGAGAUGGGACAUUGUUUAUUCUUAGACUAUUUCUUGCUGUUUGGCAGCAUCAAAGUCCUUGAGUCAAGCCUAAUCAUCACUGUCAGGGCAUAAUUAGGGGGCCGAAAGCCUCUAGUUCUGUAGCUAGGAGCUGAUAAUCCUAUAAAAACAAGUGAUUAAAAGUCUGGUUAGAAGCCGGGCGUUGGUG